rnacentral:rRNA from 1 species
CCUACGGGUGGCAGCAGUGAGGAAUAUUGGUCAAUGGGCGCGAGCCUGAACCAGCCAAGUAGCGUGAAGGAUGACUGCCCUACGGGUUGUAAACUUCUUUUAUAAAGGAAUAAAGUGAGGCACGUGUGCCUUUUUGUAUGUACGUUAUGAAUAAGGAGCGGAUAACUCCGUGCCAGCAGCCGCGGUAAUACGGAGGAGCCGAGCGUUAUCCGGAUUUAUUGGGUUUAAAGGGAGCGUAGAGGGGUUGUUAAGUCAGUUGUGAAAGUUUGCGGCUCAACCGUAAAAUUGCAAUUGAUACUGGCAGUCUUGAGUACAGUUGCGCUAGGCGGACUUCGUGUUGUAGCGG